GAUGAACGCUGGCGGCGUGCCUAAUACAUGCAAGUCGAGCGAACGGAUGAGAAGCUUGCUUCUCUGAUGUUAGCGGCGGACGGGUGAGUAAGACGUGGAUAACCUACCUAUAAUACUGGGAUAACUUCGGGAAACCGGAGCUAAUACCGGAUAAUAUUUUGAACCGCAUGGUUCAAAAGUGAAAGACGGUCUUGCUGUCACUUAUAGAUGGAUCCGCGCUGCAUUAGCUAGUUGGUAAGGUAACGGCUUACCAAGGCAACGAUGCAUAGCCGACCUGAGAGGGUGAUCGGCCACACUGGAACUGAGACACGGUCCAGACUCCUACGGGAGGCAGCAGUAGGGAAUCUUCGGCAAUGGGCGAAAGCCUGACGGAGCAACGCCGCGUGAGUGAUGAAGGUCUUCGGAUCGUAAAACUCUGUUAUUAGGGAAGAACAUAUGUGUAAGUAACUGUGCACAUCUUGACGGUACCUAAUCAGAAAGCAACGGCUAACUACGUG
rnacentral:rRNA from 1 species